AUGGGACCCGCAAUAGCAGUUAGUUCAAAAGAUAGCAGCUACAAUAGCUCACCUCUCCAUUCAGCGCUACACAGCCGUCACUACUUUGGAGCUAAACACCAAAGAAAACACAGGCUGAUACCACAGGGAUCCAAUGCCAUCCCUCUGGGACCCUGGGAUCUCUGGACUUUGGGGUCCAGGCGGGAGAUGAGGCCGAAGAUAAAGCAGGUGCAGGGCAGGCAGUGGCCGCGGAAGUGGAGAGCCUCCAGGCUGUGGAAGGUUCCAGAGAGAGAGAAACCAAGGUUAAUCUCCAAAUGAAAACAAAAUCCAGGGGGCAGGAGAGGUUGUGAAAUGCAUAGAAAAUGACACUGGGCAUCAGUUGCUGUAAGUACAUUCUUUGCUAAUCAAUCAGCUUUUAUUGUGACGCCUCUAGCUCAGCUCAUAACGCAGGAAAGCAGCUUCGGCAGCAGUUUGAAAUGUUUCCAGUUUAAUAAUCCCUGCUAAUUGAAAGCAGCUCAGAAACGGGGUGAGGUGGGGGGCGGGGGGCGCACCAGCACCGUUCAUGGCAAACAGAGCCAUUCCUACGGGGAACAAAAAGACCUUCCGUGCUGGAGGGGAAGCCUGCGUCCCCAGCCCCACACAACUAAUUCCUACGACUGUCUGCUUUGACGGCGAACCUUCCCUUCCUACGUUUUAAUUGUGGCACGUUAGAGCUGCAGAAUUGCUGUGAAACCUGUUUUUAUCCGUGGAAAAUUAACCACCCCCUGCUGCAAACACUGGAUCUUUUUUUCUUCAACAGAGAAUUACAUUCAUUUUUAUAAUUGUUCUUUCCUUUCAAAUCACCUAAUAUGACAAAUGCUGGGCGACGUUAUAGUUCAUCUGCUAAAGAGUGUCUUUAUGAGUUGAGGCUUCAAUGCUUUAAUGGAGAAAUUGCCUGAUUUAAGUAAAUCAUGUCGCCUUCACCCUUGCAAUCAUAUUUGUUGCAGACGUCUGCUGACCUAACCUGCAGAGCAAAAACAAAAACACAUUUACAUUUCCAGGCUGAGAUAUUUGGUGCGAAUGAUGUACAAAUAGGUCAUAAUGAAAAGUAAUUUUAGCACACGGCAAAGGUACGACUUAAGUAUACUUUUGACAGUUUUUACACAUACAUAAUUAUUCAGUAUUGUAAUUUAAACAGGUAAAAGACAGAUUUUAGCACAAAAGCCCCUGAUUCCUCAGCCCUGGUCUUUUAGGCUUCCCAAGCAGAGCUACAAAUGAGGACGUAGAUCGAGCAGAGGGACGUCCGCUGUAUGAUGUGCCAAGAAUCAGCUGGGCUUGUCCUUCCUCCCUCGGGUAUACACAAAUCCAUCCCAGUGGGUGGGCUCAGGUGCCCAGAUCUUGGUGCUUCCUCCUCUCUCUGUGACGUCAAUUGCUCCUGUCAUAUGAUAGGGAAUCAAUACCCAUUUGUUGAAUGGCUAAAACAUGGCCAAAAUUUGGCAUCAAAAAAUCUUCGAAAAAAAAUCCACAGUGGGGGCGCCUAGGUGACUCGGUCAGUUAAGCGUCCGACUUGGGCUCAGGUCAUGAUCUCACAAUUCGUGGGUUCGAGCUCCUUAUCAGGCUCUGCACUGGCAAAAUCAUUCUUUCUCUCUCCUUCUCUCUCUCUCUCUGCCCCUCCCCCACUGAGCAUUUUCUCUCUCUCUCUCUCUCUCUCUCUCUCAAAAUAAACUUUAAAAAAAAUUGCUCA
ensembl:lncRNA